rnacentral:rRNA from 1 species
UGCCAGCCGCCGCGGUAAUACGGAGGAUGCGAGCGUUAAUCGGAAUUACUGGGCGUAAAGCGCGCGUAGGUGGUUUGAUAAGCUAGCUGUGAAAGCCCCGGGCUCAACCUGGGAACUGCAGUUAGAACUGUCUGGCUAGAGUAUAGUAGAGGGUGGCGGAAUUUCCUGUGUAGCGGUGAAAUGCGUAGAUAUAGGAAGGAACAUCAGUGGCGAAGGCGGCCACCUGGACUAAUACUGACACUGAGGAACGAAAGCAUGGGUAGCGAAGAGGAUUAGAUA